rnacentral:rRNA from 1 species
UACGGGGGGGGCAAGCGUUGUUCGGAAUUACUGGGCGUAAAGGGCUUGUAGGUGGCCAACUAAGUCAGACGUGAAAUCCCUCGGCUUAACCGGGGAACUGCGUCUGAUACUGGAUGGCUGGAGUGUGGGAGAGGGAUGCGGAAUUCCAGGUGUAGCGGUGAAAUGCGUAGAUAUCUGGAGGAACACCGGUGGCGAAGGCGGCUCACUGGUCCGGUACUGACGCUGAGGUGCGAAAGCGUGGGGAGCAAACAGG